rnacentral:rRNA from 1 species
AGGACGAACGCUGGCGGCGUGCUUAACACAUGCAAGUCGAGCGGAAAGGCCCUUCGGGGUACUCGUAGCGGCGAACGGGUGAGUAGCACGUGAGUAACCUGCCCCUAGCUCUGGGAUAGCUCCGGGAAAACCGGGAUUAAUACCAGAUACGACCACUUUAGACAUCUGUCGUGGUGGAAAGGAUUCCGGCUAGGGAUGGGCUCGCGGCCUAUCAGCUUGUUGGUGGGGUAACGGCCUACCAAGGCGACGACGGGUA